ACUGAUUGGAUCCAAGAAAGAGGGAGAUCUCAGAAUGCUACCUGUAAUUCAGCUCCUUGAAGAAAAAACGAAAUUUGAUCAAGGAAAGGGGAAAAAGUCAGUUUCGGUCAUCACUGUAUACAAGGAUAUAUCUACAAGUGAACUUGACAAGUACCUGAAAACCACACAAGAAGAACCACCGCAUCUUGUUCUUUGUGUUGCAAAGAACACCCUCCAGGAAGCUGUAAUAGUAGGGAUACUGUUGCGAUAUUUUGCCAAGCAAAACCUGUAUUGGAUGCUGUGCUUGUUCUCCUGGGAACGUACUAUGCCUUCCACCUGCAGUACCCCAAAGUUUAUUCGCAGGUGCUUGGAUUCCUGCAGCAAUAUAUAUUGGGAGACCCAUUUACUGGAUGCAAAUCCCAUCAAUACAGAUUUAUUUGCAAAAGGGUUUAACGAUUAAAUGAAUGAAUUACAACAAUAACGUUCUUACAUAAUUGUAAAUAUCUGUAAAGAAAUUAAAUAAUUGUAAAUUAUUUGUUAAAUCUGGAUUUCAUGAUAAGGUAGUAUGUUUUUAUUGUGUAUUUAAAUAAUUUAUUUGAGGGAGUGGUCAUAUACAGUAUUCUAUUUGAUGUUUUAGAUGUUUUUAAUACAAUCAUAUAUAUGUAUAUAGG